AUGAAAGCCAAGAAAAACAAGAAAAAGGAGCACACAUCGCAUGGGGCACCCGACACUAUCUACUUUCUAAGCUUUGAUGGUCAUUGUACAUGGGGAAACAAAGUGAGGCUAUACAGGAAGCAGCUUACAAAUUUGAGGUGUCUCAUCGCUACAAGGAUGACCUUUGCCACUCGAGGAAUGUAUUUCUCGGUCAGGUUUACCAAGAAAUAUCUCCGCCGCUGUAUUGACCCAAAGCUUUAUGGCUUGCCAAUAAAAUCUGGAGAUGGUAAUACCUGCAUCAAAGCCCGUCUAACCAAAGGAGUCGAUAACAGGGCAACAAUUACGGAAGGAUGGCAGACUUCUUCCCCGCAGCUAAUAUGA
rnacentral:rRNA from 1 species